rnacentral:lncRNA from 1 species
GGAUCUUGCGGUCAGCUCCAGAUCGCCAUCUAGCGGCUUUUCUGGAGCCGCGAGGAAACUCUGGGGUCAACUGUCUUAGUUUCCUGGCUUUAGAUGUUUAUUCUGUAAGUGUCCGGUUCACAAGGGCCAAGGCUUUUAAGAGAUCCAUUGGAGAAGCAAUGCGCUGGGGGGAGAAAAGAAAAGGAAGAGAAGAAAGAUGUUUGGCUGGGAGUCUUAGGCCUCGUUCACCCACCACAGAUGUCUCAACUAUUGGAGUUGAAAGGAGUCCAACCGGGUGUGAACUGCACCUGCAGUCCCAGCUUUCUUGAAACCAAGAGAUCCCAAGUUUUACUCCACCCGUUAUCAACACACAUGCACACAAAGGUGUCCAAAGUGUAUUUCAGACUUCCUCCUCUGUGGAAAAUUGCCAGUGGUGUGCUUUGCAUGGGUGAGGCCCAGCUAUUACCAUCAUAAAAGGGGGUGGGAGGCUGGGGAGACAGCACAGCACUUCUUCUGCUCUUCCAGGGGACCGAUCCGCGUGGGACAGCUCACACGUGUCUGAAACUACCCCACCAGGAUCCCCUGGCUCUCUCUCCGCCUCUGGGAGACCGAAUUCAGAGACCUGAGAAGGAAUAAAUGUGCCUGAGUACAUAGGAAGUGCAGAGCAAGCGGAUUCCAAAACUGUAGAAACGACAGAGGGGCUGGGUGUCUGGACAGCCACUCAAGGUUUCUCUGCAUUGUUGAAGCUUCAUCUUUGGCCCUCUGGCCCAGAAUCUGACAGGCUGUUCUGUGAAGUGGGAAUCAUGAAGGGCUUGCCUACCUUGUCCUGGUAUAACUUGGCAGUCAACUUCUUCCGUGGCCUGCUUGUCCACAGCUUGGAACGCAUGCUGUCUGCAGUUGAGGCAAAGGCAGUCUCUUGCCCGGUGUC